GACAAUGAAGACAACAUCUUCAUUCUUGUGGCCAAGGGGAGGGCCCAGCCUGACGCAUGCACAGAAGAGGCCUUCACUCCAGGGGAGGGCCAAAAGGAGGAGGAGGCACCAGCUCCUAAUAUAUCCUGCCAACCUCCCAGAAACCUUUGUGCUGGAAGCCAUCUUGGCUGAGAGAUGCGCGUGCCACCAGUCUUGGUCUCUGCUGAAUUCUUUCUUCAAGGAAGACAGACUGAGGUCCUUCUCCCAGCCAUUCCACCGCUGGAAUGAGAAGGGGAGGUGGAUAUGCCCUCAGGACUGCAGCUGCUAGGGAACUUGUGAGCAGACAGGAGGCAUCUUUCAGGACUUCCAGAAAUAACCGCAGCUCAUUCUGAGGGGGUCUCCUAUUUUAAGUCUCCCCGAUUGGUCCCUCUGCAUCUGGCCCUCACUCCCUCAUGUAGGCCUGUCUGCAUCAGGGCAUAAAACACACUGAGUGGGAGUUAUUUAACUACAUCUUCCCAUCUGCACUAUGGACUCCCUGUGGGCAGUCAUCUGUGUGUCCUGCUCUAGGCCUGCAGAGCCUGGCAAACAGAGGUGCCUGGGAAAUGUUAUCACAUAUAUGAAUGAA